CCCUUAGAUGUUCUGGGCUGCACGCGUGCUACACUGAUUACUUCAACAAGUGUUUUAACUGGAGAGUUUGCGUAAUCCUGAAAUGUUAUCGUGAUGGGAGUAGAGUAUUGUAUUUGUUAAUCUUUAACGAGGAAUUCCUAGUAAGUGUAGGUUUAUAAGUUGUUCUGAUUACGUCCCUGCCCUUUGUACACACCGCCCGUCGCUACUACCGAUUGAAUGGUUUAGUGAGAUCUUCGGAUUGGCGCCACUGCGGCUCAGCAAUGGGCUCGGUGGAUGCCGAAAAGUUGAUCAAACUUGAUCAUUUAGAGGAAGUAAAAGUCGUAACA
rnacentral:rRNA from 1 species